ensembl:lncRNA
GGCCCUGCGCGUUGUGGAUUAUCAUGCCUGCCUACCUGUCAUUAAUUAGCCAUGGAUAUCAGGCGAUAUUUGAAGAGACCUUCUGCUCCCACUCCAACAGAUGCCCGAAAAAGGCCUCAAGUACAAAAAUACGAUUCUGCGCCAGUAGAAAUCGUUGGGGCUCCUUGAAGACAUGAUUCUGAAUUCACUGGAUGUCGCUGAGGCGAACAAAGUCUGCUAAACGCUUAAUUGUAUACAGUCACAAACAGUCAGAAUAUAGAUUCAACCUGCUGCUAUAUCGUUUUCUUUCCUAUCUCGUGGCUCGUCCUCCCUCGUGCGUGUUCCAACAGUCAACUCCUUCAAAGCUCAUUCCCUUCCCACACCUGAGUGGGGG